rnacentral:rRNA from 1 species
AUAGCAUAUCAAUAAGCGGAGGAAAAGAAACUAACAAGGAUUCCCCUAGUAACUGCGAGUGAAGCGGGAAAAGCUCAAAUUUAAAAUCUGGUGGUCUCUGUCCAUCCGAGUUGUAAUCUAGAGAAGUGUUACCCGCGUCGGACCGUGUAUAAGUCUCCUGGAAUGGAGCGUCAUAGAGGGUGAGAAUCCCGUCUUUGACACGGACUACCGAGGCUUUGUGGUAUGCUCUCAAAGAGUCGAGUUGUUUGGGAAUGCAGCUCAAAAUGGGUGGUAAAUUCCAUCUAAAGCUAAAUAUUGGCGAGAGACCGAUAGCGAACAAGUACCGUGAGGGAAAGAUGAAAAGAACUUUGGAAAGAGAGUUAAACAGUACGUGAAAUUGCUGAAAGGGAAACGCUUGAAGUCAGUCGCGUUGGCCGGGAAUCAGCCUUGCUUUUGCUUGGUGUACUUUCUGGUUGACGGGCCAGCAUCAGUUUUGACCGGUGGAAAAAGUUCAGGGGAAUGUGGCAUCUUCGGGUGUGUUAUAGCCCUUGUUCGUAUACAUCGGUUGGGACUGAGGAACUCAGCACGCCGCAAGGCCGGGUCUUUGACCACGUUCGUGCUUAGGAUGCUGGCAUAAUGGCUUUAAUCGACCCGUCUUGAAACACGGACCAAGGAGUCUAACAUGCCUGCGAGUGUUUGGGUGGAAAACCCGAGCGCGUAAUGAAAGUGAAAGUUGAGAUCCUUGUCAUGGGGGAGCAUCGACGCCCGGACCUGACGUUUUCUGACGGGCCCUGCGGUAGAGCAUGUAUGUUGGGACCCGAAAGAUGGUGAACUAUGCCUGAAUAGGGUGAAGCCAGAGGAAACUCUGGUGGAGGCUCGUAGCGAUUCUGACGUGCAAAUCGAUCGUCAAAUUUGGGUAUAGGGGCGAAAGACUAAUCGAACCAUCUAGUAGCUGGUCCUGCCGAUUUUUUUUAG